rnacentral:rRNA from 1 species
AAUGAACGCUGGCGGCAGGCCUAACACAUGCAAGCCGAACGGAUCCUUCGGGAUUAGUGGCGGACGGGUAAGUAACGCGUGGGAACAUACCCAAAGGUACGGAAUAGCCUCGGGAAACUGGGAGUAAUACCGUAUGUGCUCGAAAGAGGAAAGAUUUAUCGCCUUUGGAUUGGCCCGCGUUGGAUUAGGUAGUUGGUGGGGUAAUGGCCUACCAAGCCGACGAUCCAUAGCUGGUUUGAGAGGAUGAUCAGCCACACUGGGACUGAGACACGGCCCAGACUCCUACGGGAGGCAGCAGUGGGGAAUCUUAGACAAUGGGGGAAACCCUGAUCUAGCCAUGCCGCGUGAUCGAUGAAGGCCUUAGGGUUGUAAAGAUCUUUCAGGUGGGAAGAUAAUGACUGUACCACCAGAAGAAGCCCCGGCUAACUCCGUGCCAGCCGCCGCAGUAA